GAUGAACGCUGGCGGCGUGCCUAAUACAUGCAAGUCGAGCGAACGGACGAGAAGCUUGCUUCUCUGAUGUUAGCGGCGGACGGGUGAGUAACACGUGGAUAACCUACCUAUAAGACUGGGAUAACUUCGGGAAACCGGAGCUAAUACCGGAUAAUAUUUUGAACCGCAUGGUUCAAAAGUGAAAGACGGUCUUGCUGUCACUUAUAGAUGGAUCCGCGCUGCAUUAGCUAGUUGGUAAGGUAACGGCUUACCAAGGCAACGAUGCAUGGCCGACCUGAGAGGGUGAUCGGCCACACUGGAACUGAGACACGGUCCAGACUCCUACGGGAGGCAGCAGUAGGGAAUCUUCCGCAAUGGGCGAAAGCCUGACGGAGCAACGCCGCGUGAGUGAUGAAGGUCUUCGGAUCGUAAAACGCUGUUAUUAGGGAAGAACAUAUGUGUAAGUAACUGUGCACAUCUUGACGGUACCUAAGCAGAAAGCCACGGCUAACUACGU
rnacentral:rRNA from 1 species